rnacentral:rRNA from 1 species
GGAAAAGAAACCAACAGGGAUUGCCCUAGUAACGGCGAGUGAAGCGCACAAUUUGAAAUCUGGCUCCUUCGGGGCCCGAGUUGUAAUUUGCAGAGGACGCCUCGGGUGCGGGUACCUACCGAGUUCCCUGGAACGGGACGCCAUAGAGGGUGAGAGCCCCGUCUGGUAGGACACCCAGCCCAUGUGAGGCUCCCUCGACGAGUCGAGUAGUUUGGGAAUGCUGCUCUAACGGGAGGUAUACUCCUUCCAAGGCUAAAUACCGGCUGGAGACCGAUAGCGCACAAGUAGAGUGAUCGAAAGAUGAAAAGCACUUUGAAAAGAGAGUCAAAUAGCACGUGAAAUUGUUGAAAGGGAAGCGCUCGCUACCAGACUUGGGUUCGGCGGUUCAACCGGGGCCACGCCCCGGGGCACUCCGCCGUCCCAGGCCAGCAUCAGCUUUCCGUCGGGGGCAAAGACGUCGGGAAUGUGGCUCCCCUCCGGGGGAGUGUUAUAGCCCGGCGUGUCAUACCCUUCGGGGGGCUAGACGCGCUUCUGCAAGGAUGCUGGCGUAAUGGUAGCUAGUGACCCG